rnacentral:rRNA from 1 species
UACGUAGGGUGCGAGCGUUAAUCGGAAUUAUUGGGCGUAAAGCGCGUGUAGGCGGCUUUGCAAGUCGGGUGUGAAAGCCCUCAGCUCAACUGAGGAAGUGCGCCCGAAACUGCAGAGCUUGAGUGCCGGAGAGGGUGGCGGAAUUCCCCAAGUAGAGGUGAAAUUCGUAGAUAUUAGGAAGAACACCGGUGGCGAAGGCGGCCAUCUGGCUCGGUACUGACGCUGAGGUGCGAAAGCGUGGGGAGCAAACAGG